AAUGCACCGGGGCUACGUCAGCGCGGACCGGCUCCGAAGUGGGCGGGCAAGCGGGGCGGGGCCAGCCCGAGCCACGCUCCCACGCGCUGCGGAGGGGCGUCUCCAUGACGACGAGGAGGACUGUCGGUCGGAAGGAGGGGGCCAGGCCCGGGCUCGUGCUGGCGAGACGGGUCCCUUCCUAAAAAUCAAUCUUACCUGUGAAGUCCAGUCCAGGAGGAGGUAUCCAUUUUGAGAAGACUCUCAGUGCCAGGGAUAUAAGCAAUGGAGAGAACCAGAAUGUUGAAUGCUACAGACACUCACACUGUUUUGGUGCAACAUCCAACUCAAUUCUCCUCA